UACGUAGGCAGCAAGCGUUGUUCGGAGUUACUGGGCGUAAAGGGUGCGUAGGUGGCUCUAUAAGUAUGGUGUGAAAUCUCCCGGCUUAACUGGGAGGGUGCGCCGUAGACUGUGGGGCUAGAGUGUGGGAGAGGAAAGUGGAAUUCCUGGUGUAGCGGUGAAAUGCGUAGAUAUCAGGAGGAACACCGGUGGUGUAAACGGCUUUCUGGACCAUAAACUGACACUGGAGGCAACGAAAGCGUUGGGUAGCAAACAGG
rnacentral:rRNA from 1 species